GGUAGCGUGGCUUAGUGGAUAGAGCAUGGGCCUGGAAAUCAGAAGGACCUGGGUUCUAAUCCCAACUCUGCCG
rnacentral:tRNA from 1 species